AAUUAAAUAUAUCAUGACACGUGCCUUUGGUUAUUAAAGUAAACACAUAGUAAUUUGAUAACAGGAUUAAAGACACAUUUGCCUCUGUGGUUGGAUACGUAUAUACAUAUUAAAAGAACGCGUGUCUUUAAUUAGAAAUUAUACAAAUCGCGUGAAAAUCGUGCCAAAGGUUGUUAUAUAAAAUUUUAUUUUCCAAAUGUCGACUUUGUUUUUGAUGGUGUAUGGUCAAAUAUGUGAAAAUGUUGAAUUAAAUACAAUUAAUACAUUCAAUAUGUUGACUUGUAUUAUACAAGAAAUUCUGGAACUCGGUUUUAUACAGCUCCUCUUUGAGAUCAAUUUAAAGAUUUAUUUAUGGAAAUUUAAUAUUAAUCUUUACUUAUUAUUAGAUGGCAAUUUGAAUAUUUAGUAAUUACUUUAUGUUUUCAAUUAGUUAAUAUCCACGGCAAAUAUCAUUGUACGGAUUUUUUAUUUAAAAAAUAUAAUGAAAAAAAAAAAUACUAACUCUUUCAAAAGGCAUGUAUGUUUAUACAACUCCUAUGAUAAUGGACCAUAAUAUUACAAUGAAAUUCAAUUUUAAAAAAAUCAGAAACAAUUGACAAUUUCACAACAAACAAUUAUCAUGUUUUUAAUUGACACGAUCUUCUAUAAUGAGAUCAAUACGCACCGACAUAAAGUUUUUAGCACUUCCAAUUUCUGUUAAUCUGUCGUCAGUCUUUAAUCCAUUCAGGGAGGAGGUAAAAAUCAAAGAGUUGGACCUAAUUUUAGUUUUAAUUAUCAUUAAAACUCCGAUUAAUUAAACAUUAAUUGAAUGUUUGCAAACUUACCUGUCUUUGUAAUUUUACAUCAAAGCUAUGCACGUGGGUUAGAUAAAGAUCAUUAAAAUUUAACGUAAAAAAGACGUUAUUUUAUUAAUAUUUCGAUAUCAAUCAAAUUCAUUAUAAAUUUUACAUAAAACGUACUAUUUAAAGACAUUGAUUUACAACAUAAUAGUGACGAAUAGAGCGAACGUAGGGGACGAGUUGACCAUAUUAGGGACGAGUUGACUCUUUGAGGACGAGUUGACCAAAAGUAGGGGACGAGUUGACCAAAAAGGUGACGAGUUGACCAGAGGACGAGUUGACUAGGGGACGAGUUGACCGGAUUGCAUUUUAUUUUUGAGUGAUCAAGAUCAGUUUUUGUCUUUCUUAAUUAUUGUUAAUACGCAAUCUGAUCCAUACCCACGGCUUUUUAUGAUUAGAUCUAUCAUUAUCAGUAAAAAAACUGUCGAAUAGAUUAACGUAUAUGCGUAAAAAGGUAAAAUGUCGUAAAAAAGAGACUUAAUUCUCUCGCGGACUUAACAUCUGUUGUUAGUUUAUUGUUUUGAACAGCAUGGCUCCCAGCCGCGCGAUUAAACGAUAAGAUCUUGCAGGGAACUGCAGCCUACCGAGCGCCCCCUAUCAGCCGACAACAGAACAAGAUUAAUAGGAAACGAAAUUUUUUGGCCAUUUCAGAAAAAAGAUAACUUACCAUACAAACAGUUUUCUUUCUUUUGGAUAUAACUAAUGUCAGAAACAAACUAACUUACAACAGAUUUUGUCAUUGCAGCUGCAAAAUUAGGAACUUUAUACAAUACUAUAGUAGCUAGGAAUAACAUUUCGUUUGCAUUAAUUCUAUGCAUAGGAAAAAGGCGGUUAUUUUGGAAGAUGAAAACUUGUGGUGUUACAAAAAAAUAUGGAUAAAAAACAAUAUCAAGGCAUCUAGACUACUGAUAGAUGGUAUACUGAUAGACGUUAUCUCGCAGAAAACUGAAAAGAGCUAACUGAAAAGAGCAGCAAAGAAAGGACAGAACGUAAAAAUCAGCAACUCUGAUGAGAUGGUAAAAAGCAGAUGAACGGGAGAUAAUAAAAUGCAGAUGGACGGCUUCUUUGAUCGUGAAGAGUUUGCUAUUAGUUAUGGGACGAGGGCAUUCCAAGGAAAUGACAUAUAUGAGUCUUUAAAGCAGUAUGCCAUUCAUUGCCUCAGUAUAGAGAUUCAACAUUUAAUGAUUAUAGGAAUAAAAAAGGUGUAGCUCCAGACAGACACUGAAAAGGAAGGCAAAGAUGUUUUCAGACUGACAUAAAGCCCUAGUUUCUAAAACUAGAAAUAUAUUCCUAACAGCAAGCACGAAUAUUUCCAGAAUUAUUCCCCUUUACUUGUUUACCUGACAUUACCUGUUUUAUUUGCAGGGAUAUUUAUGAAAUGAGCUAUGCACGUACAUUAUGAGUUUUCAAUGUUAUGAUGUGGUGGCAUAGAUUUUUUCACAAAUUUUAAUCUUGUUGUAUGUUCUUGAUUAAUCUAGUCAGCUUUUGUUUGUAAAAAAAAAAAGAAAAAUAAAUAAAAUUUAUCAAGAUAUGUUAUUAUUAUUAUUAUUAUUAUUAUUCAUAUUUUUCUCCGGAAUUG